CAACGCCGCGUGAGGGACGACGGCCUUCGGGUUGUAAACCUCUUUUUAGUAGGGGAAGAAGCGAAAGUGACGGUACCUGCAGAAAAAAGCACCGGCUAACUACGUGC
rnacentral:rRNA from 1 species